GAUGAAGAACGCAGCGAAAUGCGAUAAGUAGUGUGAAUUGCAGAAUUCAGUGAAUCAUCGAAUCUUUGAACGCACAUUGCGCCCUCUGGUAUUCCGGGGGGCAUGCCUGUUCGAGCGUCAUUACAACCCUCAAGCUUUGCUUGGUAUUGGACAUUGCCAGUUUCUGGCAGGUCUUAAAAUCAGUGGCGGUGCCAUUUGGCUUCAAGCGUAGUAAUUCUUCUCGCUUUGGAGAUCCAAGUGGUUACUUGCCAAUAACCCCCAAUUUUUUCAGGUUGACCUCGGAUCAGGUAGGGAUACCCGCUGAACUUAAGCAUAUCAAUAAGCGGAGGA
rnacentral:misc_RNA from 1 species